rnacentral:rRNA from 1 species
CCUCCUACGACUCGGCCGCGUCGACGGGCGUACGGAGAAUGCCUGGGCACAGAGAGGCGAUGAAGGACGCAGCGAACAGCGAAAUGCGGCGGCGAGCGGUAAGCACGCGAUGACCCGCCGAUAUCCGAAUGGGGAAACCCCUCCGCUCAAGAAGCGGAGACCGCAUGACGACCGUCAUGACGGGGCAAUACGCAGGGAACUGAAACAUCUAAGUACCUGCAGGAAGAGAAAGAGAAGUCGAUUCCGUAAGUAGCGGCGAGCGAAAGCGGAGGAGCCCAAACCGGACACAGUCCGGGGUUGUAGGACCGCCGGUAAAGAUGACAUGAAGAGU